rnacentral:rRNA from 1 species
GCUUGCACUGAAUGAGAUUUUAACACGAAGUGAGUGGCGGACGGGUGAGUAACACGUGGGUAACCUGCCCAGAAGCAGGGGAUAACACCUGGAAACAGAUGCUAAUACCGUAUAACAGAGAAAACCGCCUGGUUUUCUUUUAAAAGAUGGCUCUGCUAUCACUUCUGGAUGGACCCGCGGCGCAUUAGCUAGUUGGUGAGGUAACGGCUCACCAAGGCGAUGAUGCGUAGCCGACCUGAGAGGGUAAUCGGCCACAUUGGGACUGAGACACGGCCCAGACUCCUACGGGAGGCAGCAGUAGGGAAUCUUCCACAAUGGACGCAAGUCUGAUGGAGCAACGCCGCGUGAGUGAAGAAGGGUUUCGGCUCGUAAAGCUCUGUUGUUAAAGAAGAACGUGGGUGAGAGUAACUGUUCACCCAGUGACGGUAUUUAACCAGAAAGCCACGGCUAACUACGUGCCAGCAGCCGCGGUAAUACGUAGGUGGCAAGCGUUAUCCGGAUUUAUUGGGCGUAAAGCGAGCGCAGGCGGUCUUUUAAGUCUAAUGUGAAAGCCUUCGGCUCAACCGAAGAAGUGCAUUGGAAACUGGGAGACUUGAGUGCAGAAGAGGACAGUGGAACUCCAUGUGUAGCGGUGAAAUGCGUAGAUAUAUGGAAGAAAACAAGUGGCGAAGGCGGCUGUCUGGUCUGUAACUGACGCUGAGGCUCGAAAGCAUGGGUAGCGAACAGGAUUAGAUACCCUGUUAGUACCCUGCUGUCAACGAUAAGAGUGAUUACUAAGUGUUGGAGGGUUUCCGCCCUUCAGUGCUGCAGCUAACGCAUUAAGUUAUCCGCCUGGGGAGUACGACCGCAAGGUUGAAACUCAAAGAAUUGACGGGGGCCGCACAAGCGUGGAGCAUGUGGUUAAUUCGAAGUACGCGAAGAACUUACCAGGUCUUGACAUCUUUGCCAACCUAAGAGAUUAGGCGUUCCCUUUCGGGGACAGAAUGACAGGUGGUGCAUGGUUGUCGUCAGCUCGUGUCGUGAGAUGUUGGGUUAAGUCCCGCAACGAGCGCAACCCUUAUUACUAGUUGCCAGCAUUCAGUUGGGCACUCUAGUGAGACUGCCGGUGACAAACCGGAGGAAGGUGGGGACGACGUCAAAUCAUCAUGCCCCUUAUGACCUGGGCUACACACGUGCUACAAUGGAUGGUACAACGAGUUGCGAAACCGCGAGGUUUAGCUAAUCUCUUAAAACCAUUCUCAGUUCGGACUGUAGGCUGCAACUCGCCUACACGAAGUCGGAAUCGCUAGUAAUCGCGGAUCAGCAUGCCGCGGUGAAUACGUUCCCGGGCCUUGUACACACCGCCCGUCACACCAUGAGAGUUUGU